UACGGGGGGGGGCAAGCGUUGUUCGGAAUUACUGGGCGUAAAGCGUCCGCAGGUGGCAAUGUAAGUCUGCUGUCAAAGCGUCUGGCUCAACCAGAUAAAGGCAGUGGAAACUACAUAGCUAGAGUAAGGUAGGGGUAGAGGGAAUUCCUGGUGUAGCGGUGAAAUGCGCAGAUAUCAGGAGGAACACCGGUGGUGUAGACGGCUUUCUGGACCGUAACUGACGCUGAGACACGAAAGCGUGGGGAGCAAACAGG
rnacentral:rRNA from 1 species